rnacentral:rRNA from 1 species
GACCUCGGAUCAGGUAGGGAUACCCGCUGAACUUAAGCAUAUCAAUAAGCGGAGGAAAAGAAACCAACAGGGAUUGCCUCAGUAACGGCGAGUGAAGCGGCAACAGCUCAAAUUUGAAAUCUGGCCUUCGGGUCCGAGUUGUAAUUUGCAGAGGAUGCUUCGAGCAUGGUCUAGUCUAAGUCCCUUGGAAUAGGACGUCAUAGAGGGUGAGAAUCCCGUAUGCGACUGGGUGCCUAAGCUCAUGUGAAGCUCCUUCGACGAGUCGAGUUGUUUGGGAAUGCAGCUCAAAAUGGGUGGUAAAUUUCAUCUAAAGCUAAAUAUUGGCCAGAGACCGAUAGCGCACAAGUAGAGUGAUCGAAAGAUGAAAAGCACUUUGGAAAGAGAGUUAAAUAGCACGUGAAAUUGUUGAAAGGGAAGCGC